UAGAUACCCCGGUACUCCUUUCUGUAAACGAUGAAUGGUAGUCAUUAGUUUAAUUUAAAUAACUAGAGGCGAAGUUAACACAAUAACCAUUCCGCCUUGUGAGUACUACUGCAAAGUAGAAAACAAAAAAAUUAGUCGGUCUCGAAGCAAACGGAGUGAAGCAUGUUAUUUAAUACGAUAAUCCGCGUAAAACCUUACCAGAACUUGCAUACAAACUAUUAAUUUUCUGUCAAAGGAAAAUAUUAGGAGUAUUUUAUCAUUUAAAAUACUUAAGUACAGGUGUUGCAUGGCUGUCUUCAGUUCGUGUUGUUAAACAUUAGGUUAAUUCCACUAACGAACGAAAUCCCUGUUAUUAAUUUAUACUUAAUAACUAAUGAAUCUGAUAGAGAUUCAGCGGGGGCUAAGACAAGUCGUUAUGGCCCUCAUGUUCUGGGCUAUAGACGUGCCACAAAAACUUUUACAAAGUGAUGCAAUACUUCCCAAGAGAAGUGGAGCUAAUCAUUAAAAAAAGUGAUUUAUAUUAAAUAUAAGCCGGAUUGUCUCCUGUAAUUCGGAGGCAUGAAGAAGGAAUUCCGAGUAAUCGUUGAUAAGUAGCGCAACGGUGAAGCUAGUUUCGUGAUGAACUAACUGUCUGUCGCUGGGAAGAAGCUUUUAGUGGAGGAAACUGGAGUAAGAUAAUGUUUUUUUCAUAGUAACUCAUUGCUUUAAGUAAAGUCUUUUUAGUAUUAUCGAUAAAACUUAUUGGAUUUAGUUAAUUCAUUGAG
rnacentral:rRNA from 1 species